GAAGUCGGAGCAUAAAUGAUCUAUUUAUUGUCAUCCUUUGUGUUGAGUUCGGGAUCGCGAGAUGGUUUACACCUACCAACCCUUCCCCUCGGAGUAUGCGUUUAGCAGUUUGUUUCGAUUACUAAUAAAAACUUCUGCAACAAGUAUGUGAGUUCUUUAUGACUAAUGUUGAGUCCAUGGUAUAGAUGCACUUUCACCUUCCAGCAUUGCUAGCCUCUCUAGCGCCGUGCAAUUCUCGUCGGUGCACAAACCCACCAAAUUCCUUCCUCAAAACAUCCACCAUACCUACCUAUUAUGGCAUUUUCAUACCAAUUCCGAGAUAUAUUGCCAUGCAACUACCACUGUUCCAUCUAAUGACUUGUGUCAUCACUCUCAUAUUGCCAUUGCAUGAUCAUACUAGAUCGUUGCACAUCCCGGUACACUGCCGGAGGCAUUUCCUAUGGAGUCAUCAUCAUUGUGAUCUUUGAGCUUUGAGUAACUAAAAAGUGUGAU
rnacentral:lncRNA from 1 species